UACGGAGGGGGCGAGCGUUGUUCGGAUUCAUUGGGCGUAAAGGGUGCGUAGGCGGCGGGGCAAGUCUGAUGUGAAAUCCCCGGGGCUCAACCCCGGAACUGCAUUGGAUACUGCCUUGCUUGAGUACUGGAGAGGGAACUGGAAUUUACGGUGUAGCAGUGAAAUGCGUAGAGAUCGAUAAGGAAGGCCAGUGGCGAAGGCGAGUUCCUGGACAGUUACUGACGCUGAGGCAACGAAGGCCAGGGGAGCAAACGGG
rnacentral:rRNA from 1 species